AACGAACGCUGGCGGCAGGCUUAACACACGCAAGUCGAACGCCCCGCAAGGGGAGUGGCAGACAGGUGAGUAACGCGUGGGAACAUACCCUUUUCUACGGAAUAGCUCUGGGAAACUGGAAUUAAUACCGUAUACGCCCUACGGGGGAAAGAUUUAUCGGGGAAGGAUUGGCCCGCGUUGGAUUAGCUAGUUGGUGGGGUAAAGGCCUACCAAGGCGACGAUCCAUAGCUGGUCUGAGAGGAUGAUCAGCCACAUUGGGACUGAGACACGGCCCAAACUCCUACGGGAGGCAGCAGUGGGGAAUAUUGGACAAUGGGCGCAAGCCUGAUCCAGCCAUGCCGCGUGAGUGAUGAAGGCCUUAGGGUUGUAAAGCUCUUUCACCGAUGAAGAUAAUGACGGUAGUCGGAGAAGAAGCCCCGGCUAACUUCGUGCCAGCCGCCGCAGUAAUAC
rnacentral:rRNA from 1 species